GUGCUGUGGUCUUGCGGGGUGCUUGGAAGUGUAGAGAAAGAAGGACAAAUCAUAGCCUGUCUGCAGUUGCUGAAUCAGCAGACGCAGGCCGCGGAACCCAGGCAGGAGUGGCCUCCAUUUUGUAGGGAUUUCUGUGGUGAGCCAGUGAGCUGCUUCCACUUUUAUGAAGGGAGGAGGUGGGGAAGGACCUGAAGAAUUCUAAUUCAGAAAACAAUGACCCAGUCCAAGGAUCUCUUCCCAGAAAGCUCCUGUCCCUGUUCAGGCUUGCCAGUAAAGGGGCUCAAAGGGAACACUGCAGCGGACACUUGUGAACCUUCGACAAAGCGCUGAUUUGGUGUGUGUCUCCACGUGGUUCUCCUGCGCUCUGGGGUCCGGGGUCUGGGGUCUAGAACGGUGAGAAUGGGCUGAAGCCAAGCUGUGGGAAGGGCCUGAAGCCAAGCCGCAGCUGCGCGCAGCUGUGAUUCAGAGGUGUUGAACGACAUGACAGCCCAUCCUGAGCGCGCCAUGUGGAGAACAUUAGCACUAAAAACUCCAUAAGACACUCACCGUUCAAAGGUCGCCUUCCAACGCCUGCGCCAGCCACUUGGCGACUGCUUGCCUGUCAUGAAUGGCUUGCCGGCUGCCCUGAGGUGCCCCGAGAUUCACACUCUGGCACGCGGCUGGGACCCAGGGACAAACCAGCAGCUCGCAGUCUGCGUCUUCCUGAGGACCCUUUAAAGAGUCGUAGCCCUCAGAGCUGCCGGAACGGAACGGAGGGCAUCCCCCCAGGCCUCAUAUAAAGACCGUGGGAACGGCUUUCUUUUGGAGCCUGAAAUCAAAGUGUUUUCCUUUAAAAUCGACCUGAGUUAGGGCAGAUCGCUUUGAUCAGCACGCCUGGGCCCUUACUACUCGCUCUCAGUGCUCUGGGAGGGAUUGAGUUGCGAGCAGAGCUGGGACCGGGGCCAAGGCGCAGAAGGGGCUGGCGGAUUCUGGAGAGCUCACCACGGAGGUCAGGCGUCUGGAGCAGAGUUGGGGUGAGAUCGGCGAGGUGAAACUCUAUGCUCUUACCCUCUGCACCUCCAGUAGGCAUUUUUGCACAGUUAUUCCUCUCAUCCACCUCCUCCUUAAAGGGCCACUGACCAUCCUCCGAGGACUAGGUUAGCCCUGUUAGAAGACUAUAGAGGGCUCAUGGGUUCACUUCCUGCAGAGCUGCAGGGUCUCCAUGAACUGCCGACAGUAGCAGUACCCCUCAACGCUUGUAGGAUUCCGCUCAGUUAUGAUCAGAUCAGGACUUUCCCUUCAGCUCCUCCAUGUUGUCAGCCCGUCUAUUUGAUAACCCACGUUUAGGGAAGUGACCUCCAAUCUUUCAGCUCCCUUUGAAACACAGUCUCUGUCUUUCUUGUUUUUCUUCAAGACAGGGUUUCUCUGUGUGAUAAAGUCCUGGCUGUUCUUGAACUGGCUUUGUAGACCAGGUAGGCCUCGAACUCACAAAGAUCUACCUGCCCCUGCCUCCCAAGUGCUGGGAUUAAAGGUGUGCACCACCACCUGAUAAUGUUUCUUUCAUUUGGG